UGAGGGGCCCGGGGUGUGCUGGACGACGAGCCUUACGGGCGUGCCCGCCGCGCAGGUGCAGACGCGCGUCCGGUCUUGUCGCAGGUGGACAGGCUGUCUCCAGAGGGUCGCCGUCCCCGCUGGCUCUGAACGCGAGAUGCUGCGCUUGGGGGUGUUAUAGUGACCUCUUCACUAAGACAUGUCCCCGAAACGCUGCCCGGGCCGCCCUGGUCUCCGCCCCAUCCCCACCCCCGCCCGGCUCGGCCUGUCGCUCCUGGAGCGGGCGUGUGCCCUGGCUGGAGCCUGUGCCGACCGGUGUCAGGCAGCCCGACGAGGAGUCCUCGCCCGAGCCCGUUGCUCGGCCCUUCUGUGGGGACCCCACCCUGCGGGUUAGGCCUGGAGCUCCGGGCAGGGCCACACCCAGAGCAAGAGUCUACUUCGGUGGGAGCAGAAACUGUGACCGAGUUCUUCAUAUCAAGUAUUGACACGCACUGCCCACCUUUGCGUGCUGUCCAAUUUCUCCAAGAUAAAAGGAGUGGCUCGCAGCAGGCCACGCAGCUUCUCUGGCAGCUUCUUUAGGCAGCAUCACCGCUGCUUCCUUUGGGUACUGUCCCUCUCCCACCCCAACUGGUUCUGAUGGGAACGGCAAAAAACCGAACAGCAGCCAGUGUAGCAGACGUCCAUCUCCUGGGCUCUCCAGUUCAGGAAGGCCCCAUCCCCUUCAUGAAAUUCACUGAUUGGUGACCAUGGCCAAAGGGACAUCCAAGCCUGGAGGCUCCUCUCAGGGAGGAUCUUCAACUUCUGCUCCAACCAGGGAGCUGCAAGGCCACGUUCUCCAUCACAAGGACCUGAAGCUUCCCCUUCAGUUGGGACUGGUGACAUUUGCGGUCCACAUCAUUGUUCCUGUGGCCAGAGGUGGUGGAGAAUGGAAAGAAUGAGGAACAGAAAGGACCACUUUGGUGAUCAAUGCAGUGACUAUGACACACAACCAGAGGACCAUGGCAUGGGAAGGGGACCCCAGGAACCAAGAGUCACAAGUACCAGUCCAGAGAAUGGACAUGAAUUGUCUGAGGCCACAUGUGAGUCACUGGCACAGCUGGGACCACAGCUUGGCUCUACACAUGUCAAAACCUGUGCAUCCACCUCAUUGUGCUCACCUGUAACCCUCCCACCUCCCACCCCAUCCCCCAUGCUGAGGCUCCCCAGACCUGCCAUCCACCUUCCCCCUCCUACCUAUUAUACUCCAUGUGCGGUGGGGAGCAUCUCACUGUUUUAUCAAGUCGUGGUAGGACUGCAAAUACAGAAAGGUGAAGUCAGGAUUCAGCAGGGAGAAGAUGUAGUUGGGGCGCACUAACACUGACACCUAUAGUAACCAUUCGGCAGUAAUAUUUCCUCCCCCUGGAUCACACUUGACAUCUUUUUCAAGGCAUUUCCAAGCCCAUGAUCUCAGUUUGUGGAAUAUACUAAAAAGCAUAUGUACUUCACAGGGCCUGGUUUUCCAAAGCCUUGCAGUUUCAAAUAUUGACCUUGCAAGGACAGGAAAUUCUCCUCAGACUGUAAGUCUCUGGUGUAAGACAAUGAAUUGUGGCACAGCAGGUUGCUGGCUCAAAGACAGACUAGUUACUGAUUGUUAAGUAAAGAUACUGAGAAAUUGCUGUAAGAAGGAAUGU